rnacentral:misc_RNA from 1 species
AGAGGAAGGAGAAGUCGUAACAAGGUUUCCGUAGGUGAACCUGCGGAAGGAUCAUUGUCGAAACCUGCCCAGCAGAACGACCUGUGAACUCUUUAAUACACCGGAGGGUGCGUUCCUCGAGUGCGCUCCCCUCCCUUCUGCGUCAGGCGCGGGCUUGCGCUCGUGCUUGUUGCGGAACAACCAACCCCGGGCGCAGCAUGCGCCAAGGAAAACAAACAAAGAGAGCACGAUCUCAGGCCCCAUACAUGGUGUGCUUGGGAUGCGGUGCCUUCUCUCAAAUUAUAUAAAACGACUCUCGGCAACGGAUAUCUCGGCUCUCGCAUCGAUGAAGAACGCAGC